rnacentral:rRNA from 1 species
UCGAGGAUCUUCGGCAAUGGGCGCAAGCCUGACCGAGCGACGCCGCGUGCGGGAUGAAGGCCUUCGGGUUGUAAACCGCUGUCAGUGGGGAGGAAAUGCAGGUGGGUUCUCCCAUCUGUUUGACCUAUCCGCAGAGGAAGGAUGGGCUAAGUUCGUGCCAGCAGCCGCGGUAAGACGAACCAUCCAAACGUUAUUCGGAAUUACUGGGCUUAAAGGGUGCGUAGGCUGCGCAGAAAGUUGGGUGUGAAAUCCCUCGGCUUAACCGAGGAACUGCGCCCAAAACUACUGUGCUUGAGGGAGACAGAGGUGAGCGGAACUUAGGGUGGAGCGGUGAAAUGCGUUGAUAUCCUAAGGAACACCCGUGGCGAAAGCGGCUCACUGGGUCUCUUCUGACGCUGAUGCACGAAAGCUAGGGGAGCGAACGGGAUUAGAUACCCCCGUAGUCC